ACACAACAGGGAGGGAGGAGAGGGAAACUGAAUGAGUACAUUUUGCUGGAAGGAAGGAAUCACCACUUGGGGUUUUAGGGGGUAAGAGAGGAGCAUGGAGAGACAUGCUGAGCACACGGCACCAGAACAAACAGGUGGAGGAGACGUUAGUACUAGAAAGAGGAACAAAAGUACAAGAGAAAAAGGCGUAGAACAAAAGAAGAGGUGAAAUGAGGACACAGCGGACUUAUAUCUGUUUGGCCAACUCUAGACUCCAUGGACUAGUGAGAGGAAGAAGAGACACAGAGAGGAAGAAGGAUGGCUGCUGCCAGUUUUUACAUCACUGGCCA
rnacentral:lncRNA from 1 species